UUUCAUCCCGUUAUAAUAAAACUGAUCGUUGGUGACCAGAAAGAUAAGCCUUUCGAAAAAUUGUACUUUUUAAAUUUUAAAAUGUCCAUCCCAUUUAUCUAAAACUUAUUGUGCAUGCACUUCUCAAUAAAAAGGUAAGCCUAUAGCCUUUGAAAAUCUCGUAUUUUCUAAUUUUUAAGAUGUCCGUCCUAUUUUAAUAAAAUUUAUUGGGGGGCACUUUCCACCAAAAGGGUAAGCCUACAGCCUUUGUAAAUCUUGUAUUUUUCGAUUUUGAAGAUGUCCAUCACAUUUUAUUAAAAUUUAUUGUGGGACACUUUCCACCAAAAAGGUGAGCCUAUAUAUAGCCUUUGAAAAUCUUUGUAUUUUUCAGUUGUUCAAAUGCCCAUCCCAUUUCAAUAAAAUUUAUUGUGGGUGCACCUUUCACCAAAAAGAUCCGGAUCUUAUAUGGCACCUGCCAUCCCUAUGCCAGCGUGGAAAGUGACGAAAACAGAACCAAGCGCUACAUUAGAGAUGCAGAAAUGACACACUGAAAAGGCACGACACAGAAGAAGCAGGAACUGCUAUGUGCUACCUUGUUGUGAUCUAUACAAGAUCGUAGAAUGAAUGAAGGGAUAAAUAAAUAAAUACGGGCUGC
rnacentral:lncRNA from 1 species